CCCCGUACACAAAAAUGCACAUGCUGUGAGCUCGAUGAGUAGGGCGGGACACGUGGUAUCCUGUCUGAAUAUGGGGGGACCAUCCUCCAAGGCUAAAUACUCCUGANACAGCCCCGUACACAAAAAUGCACAUGCUGUGAGCUCGAUGAGUAGGGCGGGACACGUGGUAUCCUGUCUGAAUAUGGGGGGACCAUCCUCCAAGGCUAAAUACUCCUGACUGACCGAUAGUGAACCAGUACCGUGAGGGAAAGGCGAAAAGAACCCCGGCGAGGGGAGUGAAAAAGAACCUGAAACCGUGUACGUACAAGCAGUGGGAGCACGCUUAGGCGUGUGACUGCGUACCUUUUGUAUAAUGGGUCAGCGACUUAUAUUCUGUAGCAAGGUUAACCGAAUAGGGGAGCCGAAGGGAAACCGAGUCUUAACUGGGCGUUAAGUUGCAGGGUAUAGACCCGAAACCCGGUGAUCUAGCCAUGGGCAGGUUGAAGGUUGGGUAACACUAACUGGAGGACCGAACCGACUAAUGUUGAAAAAUUAGCGGAUGACUUGUGGCUGGGGGUGAAAGGCCAAUCAAACCGGGAGAUAGCUGGUUCUCCCCGAAAGCUAUUUAGGUAGCGCCUCGUGAAUUCAUCUCCGGGGGUAGAGCACUGUUUCGGCAAGGGGGUCAUCCCGACUUACCAACCCGAUGCAAACUGCGAAUACCGGAGAAUGUUAUCACGGGAGACACACGGCGGGUGCUAACGUCCGUCGUGAAGAGGGAAACAACCCAGACCGCCAGCUAAGGUCCCAAAGUCAUGGUUAAGUGGGAAACGAUGUGGGAAGGCCCAGACAGCCAGGAUGUUGGCUUAGAAGCAGCCAUCAUUUAAAGAAAGCGUAAUAGCUCACUGGUCGAGUCGGCCUGCGCGGAAGAUGUAACGGGGCUAAACCAUGCACCGAAGCUGCGGCAGCGACGCUUAUGCGUUGUUGGGUAGGGGAGCGUUCUGUAAGCCUGUGAAGGUGUACUGUGAGGUAUGCUGGAGGUAUCAGAAGUGCGAAUGCUGACAUAAGUAACGAUAAAGCGGGUGAAAAGCCCGCUCGCCGGAAGACNGGGGCUAAACCAUGCACCGAAGCUGCGGCAGCGACGCUUAUGCGUUGUUGGGUAGGGGAGCGUUCUGUAAGCCUGUGAAGGUGUGCUGUGAGGCAUGCUGGAGGUAUCAGAAGUGCGAAUGCUGACAUAAGUAACGAUAAAGCGGGUGAAAAGCCCGCUCGCCGGAAGACCAAGGGUUCCUGUCCAACGUUAAUCGGGGCAGGGUGAGUCGACCCCUAAGGCGAGGCCGAAAGGCGUAGUCGAUGGGAAACAGGUUAAUAUUCCUGUACUUGGUGUUACUGCGAAGGGGGGACGGAGAAGGCUAUGUUGGCCGGGCGACGGUUGUCCCGGUUUAAGCGUGUAGGCUGGUUUUCCAGGCAAAUCCGGAAAAUCAAGGCUGAGGCGUGAUGACGAGGCACUACGGUGCUGAAGCAACAAAUGCCCUGCUUCCAGGAAAAGCCUCUAAGCAUCAGGUAACAUCAAAUCGUACCCCAAACCGACACAGGUGGUCAGGUAGAGAAUACCAAGGCGCUUGAGAGAACUCGGGUGAAGGAACUAGGCAAAAUGGUGCCGUAACUUCGGGAGAAGGCACGCUGAUAUGUAGGUGAAGUCCCUCGCGGAUGGAGCUGAAAUCAGUCGAAGAUACCAGCUGGCUGCAACUGUUUAUUAAAAACACAGCACUGUGCAAACACGAAAGUGGACGUAUACGGUGUGACGCCUGCCCGGUGCCGGAAGGUUAAUUGAUGGGGUCAGCGCAANGCUGCAACUGUUUAUUAAAAACACAGCACUGUGCAAACACGAAAGUGGACGUAUACGGUGUGACGCCUGCCCGGUGCCGGAAGGUUAAUUGAUGGGGUUAGCGGUAACGCGAAGCUCUUGAUCGAAGCCCCGGUAAACGGCGGCCGUAACUAUAACGGUCCUAAGGUAGCGAAAUUCCUUGUCGGGUAAGUUCCGACCUGCACGAAUGGCGUAAUGAUGGCCAGGCUGUCUCCACCCGAGACUCAGUGAAAUUGAACUCGCUGUGAAGAUGCAGUGUACCCGCGGCAAGACGGAAAGACCCCGUGAACCUUUACUAUAGCUUGACACUGAACAUUGAGCCUUGAUGUGUAGGAUAGGUGGGAGGCUUUGAAGUGUGGACGCCAGUCUGCAUGGAGCCGACCUUGAAAUACCACCCUUUAAUGUUUGAUGUUCUAACGUUGACCCGUGAUCCGGGUUGCGGACAGUGUCUGGUGGGUAGUUUGACUGGGGCGGUCUCCUCCUAAAGAGUAACGGAGGAGCACGAAGGUUGGCUAAUCCUGGUCGGACAUCAGGAGGUUAGUGCAAUGGCAUAAGCCAGCUUGACUGCGAGCGUGACGGCGCGAGCAGGUGCGAAAGCAGGUCAUAGUGAUCCGGUGGUUCUGAAUGGAAGGGCCAUCGCUCAACGGAUAAAAGGUACUCCGGGGAUAACAGGCUGAUACCGCCCAAGAGUUCAUAUCGACGGCGGUGUUUGGCACCUCGAUGUCGGCUCAUCACAUCCUGGGGCUGAAGUAGGUCCCAAGGGUAUGGCUGUUCGCCAUUUAAAGUGGUACGCGAGCUGGGUUUAGAACGUCGUGAGACAGUUCGGUCCCUAUCUGCCGUGGGCGCUGGAGAACUGAGGGGGGCUGCUCCUAGUACGAGAGGACCGGAGUGGACGCAUCACUGGUGUUCGGGUUGUCAUGCCAAUGGCACUGCCCGGUAGCUAAAUGCGGAAGAGAUAAGUGCUGAAAGCAUCUAAGCACGAAACUUGCCCCGAGAUGAGUUCUCCCUGACUCCUUGA
rnacentral:rRNA from 1 species